ensembl:lncRNA
CUAUUUGAAAGAUGCAAAAAUCAUUACAAGCAACGACAGCGAGAGACUGUUUAGUACUGCAUCGUGUGUCUUCUAUGAAAAGAGGAAGGCGUGAUAGUUGCUGGUUGCUGUAUGAUGACUGAAAGCAUGAAAUGGCCUUAAACAAUUAUUACCCCGGAAAAAGUUCAGAGGUGUUGACGUCCCCGCCCAUUUACUACAGCCAUUAUAAAGAACAAUGAACACCGCUCACCCAAACUGCACGAAGAAUGCUUGGAUAAAUUCUGCACAGAGCUUGGAUAUCGCAACCUGAGCUACCUAAAGGAACUGUGUACUACCUCAGCCCACACCGCAGACGGUGUUUCAGUGGCAUCGGGUUCAAAAUCAUAAAAGCCAUGAUCGUGCUGCUUUUGCAGCACAUCAUUGACAACAAACUGAGGGAGGAGUGCGAGGGUUGUGCAACGGAUCAUCCGAGCCAGCUGCAACAUUCCUGUCUGUUUGAGCCUGCCGCAUACUAUUUCAACUCAUGCUUCAAUGAGCUGAACUGCAAACUGUUCAAGCCCGGUCUUCAGACCAUUAUCGACUUCACCCUAUGCCGCUGCAGUUUAAUGACCAACAUCAAUCUGAGGAUUCAAGGAACUACUGGAGCUACCCUGCAUGAAUUGAGAUGAACCAUUUAUCAUCUCAAAACUGCAAGAAAGAGAAAAGAAGGUUGUUUACAACACCUUAGAUCUCUGGCAAAGCAGUGUGUCUGUCCCUGGACUGUGAGCGCAACAUUAUGGGGUCCAUGUGUAGCGUGAAGAAUUUUUUCAGAGACCUCGUGUUUAUCUCAGGUUAUAAAGAGCAAAUGAUCGAAAUAAUACUUACGGCUAUCGAACAUGUGUGUGAUCCCGAGAAAUAUUAUGAGGGAUAAACGAAACGUAUAAAGAAUCUCAAGAAACAAAUGGAUGUUAUGAGAAGAGUUACGGAUACAUGGGGUACAUUGACUUACGUGUGUUAACAGAUCUGAUCCACCGGCUGUAAUGCUCAGAAAAAUUCUAGAUAAGAUAUCCGCAGCCGGUCAAGGGAUAGGAGUUAGCAAGGUAUUAUGUAUGUGUACAUAUGUAACUGAUGUAUGUGUGAAGCUUGUUUCAAAAAAUGAGAAAAACAAGGUCAGCAAAAUGGUUGAAAUUCUGGUCAACUAUAUACUAGAUCAGGGGUAUAUGUCAUACAAUUUGUAACAACAUUCUAUCUGAACUUUAUUCUUGUCAUUAUGUAACCAAUUUUUUUAUUUUAUUCUUGUAACCAAUUUGAAUUUUAGUCUUGUCAUUGUGUAUCCAAUUUGAAACCC